GCUUAUGACAUAUUAGAAAAGUUUGCAGAAGAAACAGUAGUUGUUUACAAAGAUGUCAGCCCUCCUCGCAUUGAAAACUUAUGGUUAUCACGUGGGGAUAACGUAAAUAUAUCUGUUCACAGUAUAGAGGAUUUUUCUAAAAUGACCAUUGAAUGGGAGGCGUUUGAUUUCGACAGUGGAUUAAAUCAGGUUGAAUGGCGACUAUUUGAUAAUUACACUUCCAAUUCCAUUCUUCACGGAAAGGCUGAACUACAUGCUCAAGGCAUGGCACAGAAUCUCACAAUAUGUGAAAGUAAAUACGAAAACGAACCAAGAGGCUCAUCAUGUUACUGUACUAUGUUUCAUGGUUGCUACCAUAAACAUUU